GAUGAACGCUGGCGGCGUGCCUAAUACAUGCAAGUCGAACGAAACUUCUUUAUCACCGAGUGCUUGCACUCACCGAUAAAGAGUUGAGUGGCGAACGGGUGAGUAACACGUGGGCAACCUGCCCAAAAGAGGGGGAUAACACUUGGAAACAGGUGCUAAUACCGCAUAACCAUAGUUACCGCAUGGUAACUAUGUAAAAGGUGGCUAUACUACCGCUUUUGGAUGGGCCCGCGGCGCAUUAGCUAGUUGGUAGGGUAAAGGCUUACCAAGGCAAUGAUGCGUAGCCGAAUUGAGAGGUUGAUCGGCCACAUUGGGACUGAGACACGGCCCAAACGCCUACGGGAGGCAGCAGUAGGGAAUCUUCCACAAUGGGCGAAAGCCUGAUGGAGCAACGCCGCGUGGGUGAAGAAGGUCUUCGGAUCGUAAAACCAUGUUGUUAGAGAAGAAAGUGCGUGAGAGUAACUGUUCACGUUUCGACGGUAUCUAACCAGAAAGCCACUGCUAACUACGU
rnacentral:rRNA from 1 species